UGGGGAAUAUUGCACAAUGGGGGAAAGCCCUGAUGCAGCAACGCCGCGUGCGGGAUGAAGGCCUUCGGUUGUAAACCGCUUUCAGUAGGGAAGAUAUAAGACGGUACCUACAGAAGAAGCCCCGGCUAACUACGUGCCAGCAGCCGCGGUAAUACGUAGGGGGCAAGCGUUAUCCGGAUUCAUUGGGCGUAAAGCGCGCGCAGGCGGACCUGUAAGCGGGACCUCUAAUCCCGGGGCUCAACCUCGGAUCGGGUUCCGAACUGCAGGCCUUGAGUGCGGUAGGGGAGGUCGGAAUUCCCGGUGUAGCGGUGGAAUGCGCAGAUAUCGGGAAGAACACCGAUGGCGAAGGCAGACCUCUGGGCCGAAACUGACGCUGAGGCGCGAAAGCUAGGGGAGCAAACAGGAUUAGAUACC
rnacentral:rRNA from 1 species